rnacentral:sRNA from 1 species
CCUCCUCGAUUUGCUGCGGGCAAAUGAAAUGGAUGUGCGAAUCGAUGCCGCCGGCCGUCACGAUCAUGCCUUCUCCGGCAAUCACUUCGGUGGCCGCGCCCAGCGGGAUCGUCACGCCGGGCUGAAUGUCCGGAUUGCCGGCCUUGCCGAUCGCCCAGAUACGGCCCGCCUUCAGGCCGAUGUCGGCCUUGACGAUACCCCAAUGGUCGACGAUCACCGCGUUGGUGAUUACCGUGUCUGCCACCUCCGCGUGGGUGCGUUGCGAUUGGCCCAUGCCGUCGCGAAU